UACGAAGGGGGCUAGCGUUGUUCGGAAUUACUGGGCGUAAAGGGCGCGUAGGCGGCCGGCUAAGUUAGAUGUGAAAGUCCUGGGCUCAACCUGGGGACUGCAUUUAAUACUGGUUGGCUUGAAUUCGGGAGAGGAUAGCGGAAUUCCCAGUGUAGAGGUGAAAUUCGUAGAUAUUAGGAAGAACACCGGUGGCGAAGGCGGCCCACUGGAUCGGUACUGACGCUGAGGUGCGAAAGCGUGGGGAGCAAACAGG
rnacentral:rRNA from 1 species